rnacentral:SRP_RNA from 12 species
GCCGCUGUCGGCUCCUGUGUUCGCCGGAAGGGAAGCACGAGAGACCUGUUAAACCGCGGGACACCGGGCGAGAUUGGAAACAGAGUAGCCUUACUCGCAGCAG